CGAAGUCAACACAGCUGUAUAUUGACGCGGUGGGAGGGGAACGAGUGCGCAGACCGUCGGCGCAAUGGCGGGUAUAGCUUCAUGAUCAUUCUAGAUUUCGGUUUUUGGCGGCGAGUAAUUUGGCGGAAGAAAUGGGGGUGUUGACCUUUCAGUGAAGCUAUUUACACUGGAAUCGCAAGUCGUGUCAAGUACCGUAAAAUUGAUGUCCCCUUCGGUCUAAGUCUCAGCUGAAUGGAUCAGGUAAAUUCAAUUCCCCGGUAAAAAAAUUACCCUUGGGGACCCUGAGGCCCUGGUGUAUCUCGAGGUCUUCUCCAUUACAUGAAGUUCAUGUUACGUCUUCUCCGAGACUUGAAUCGUAGUGUAAACAGGCCCAAAAGUUUAUAUUUAAUGCCGCGAGGAAGACUGACAUGGAGGUGGACCUUUCUGACUUCAAACCAUCGGGAAAGCGGACCCCAAGUUUUCACCGUCAACAGAUCUCGAUGACAUAUUGUUAUUGACGAAAGGUAGUUACUCUACCUUUAAAGCGUUCCUAAUCCGUGAGUGUUUUCGUCGAGACUCCGCCUGAAAUGGAAGCAAAUUGCCAGAAUAAUAGGACAAGUAUGAUGUCCAAUAUGUAGUUACAGCGAAGAAUGAACAUAAAAAUACUUACGGGACUUCACCACUGCGAUCUACAUCACUCCUGAUUGUGUUUCUUAGCUCUUUCAAACUUAUCAUUAUGAAGCUGCUCACACCAGACAUUCGAAGCGCUAUUCGCGCAGAAAUAAACGCGAAGAAAUCCGAUGGAGUUCUCCUUACCUGGAAAAUAAUAGGCAACUUCUGCCUCAUUUCCACUGUAGCUGAUCUUUGUAGAUGAACCGAUAAGUUGCGCCAACUCUACUCCUGUCCCACCACCUUGCGCGGCGAUUGUAAAUUUUUAGCGAACAACGGAGCAUUGUCCGAGUAACUUUGCUCUUUUUUCGCCAGUGAAAUACUUAUCUUUGUUCAGAAGACAUCAGAGGUUUCCGUAGAGUCUGGUUUUACUUCAAGUUUCCAUAUUUUAUUCUUAUCUAAUAGCUUGAUUUUGAAAGUCUUCACCCAUAAAAUUCUUAUUCCAUAAAAAUCGGAAAUCAAUUAAGACAUUCAAUGAGUGAUUACAGAAAUAAUAAAGUUUUGAAGAGCCAUGAAUCAGUAACAUUGUCAACAAAAUUAGAGAAACUGAAUUGAUUAAAUAGGGGAGUACAAGAAUAGACCAACGUAAUGAGGACGUUUUCUCAUACCACUAAGGAUCAUGAAUUUUCUAGGCGGGAAUGAACGUCAAUAAAAGCCAACGUUUGAAGUACACUUGCAUGCAUAACUCUGCGUACAGCGCUAAAAAAUUCGAAAAACUAACUUUAAACGCAAAUUUCUCAGGAAAUCUGACACGUAUCUAACCAAGCUUGAUUUCAAUUCAUUAUUUAUUGAUUUCAGUAAGUAAAUAAAAAUAUAAAUUUUAUUUUAUUCAGAUAAUUAUAGUUUAAAUUCAUUUUAUUUGAAAACCAUAUGAAAAAAAGCAACUGCAAAAGUCUGCGUACAGAAAGGUAUUUUUAAAGAAAUUAAUGUCCUAUGACU